rnacentral:tRNA from 1 species
GGGCUGUAGCUCAAUUGGGAGAGCGCCGGCUUUGCAAGCCGGAGGUCGCCGGUUCGAUCCCGGUCAGCUCC